UCUCCACUGUCCCUGGAGCUCCCUGAGACUUUCCCUGGGCCUCAGGAUCUCACCCUCCAUCCUGUCUGCCCUGCAGGAUGCCGCAGCUGAGCCUGUCCUGGCUGGGCCUCGGGCAGGUGGCAGCAUUCCCGUGGCUGCUCCUGCUGCUGGCUGGGGCCUCCCGGCUCCUGGCCGGCUUCCUGGCCUGGACCUAUGCCUUCUAUGACAACUGCCGCCGCCUUCAGUACUUUCCACAACCCCCAAAACAGAAAUGGUUUUGGGGUCAACCAGGACCUCCUGCUAUUGCGCCCAAGGAUGAUCUCUCCAUCAGGUUCCUGAAGCCCUGGCUGGGAGAAGGGAUACUGCUGAGUGGCGGUGACAAGUGGAGCCGCCACCGUCGGAUGCUGACGCCCGCCUUCCAUUUCAACAUCCUGAAACCCUAUAUAAAGAUCUUCAACAGGAGUGUGAACAUCAUGCACGUUGUUCCCUGCAAACACAACUCUGAAAAAUGGCUGAAGUAAGAACAUCAUGGCCUUGCAUUCUUGGCAUGCCCAGCAAGGAUGCUCAGGGCUGAUGAAGAAGUGCCUCUUCCAACACAGGGAUAUUUUUGAAAUGACUUUGUAACAAUGGAGAAGAGUGAAGAGAACAUUUACUGAGCACUCACCAUAGGCCUAAAACAAUGUCAUGUCCCCGUUCCAUGACAUAUGUGUCUAAUUUAAUUUUAAUAACCCUGACAAGUGGCAGCACCUGGCCUCAGAGGGCAGCAGUCGUCUGGACAUGUUUGAGCACAUCAGCCUCAUGACCUUGGACAGUCUGCAGAAAUGCAUCUUCAGCUUUGACAGCCAUUGUCAGGAGAGGCCCAGUGAAUAUAUUGCUACCAUCUUGGAGCUCAGUGCCCUUGUAGAAAAAAGAAACCAGCAUAUCCUCCAGCACAUGGACUUUCUGUAUUACCUCUCCCAUGACGGGUGGCGCUUCCGCAGGGCCUGCCGCCUGGUGCACGACUUCACAGAUGCCGUCAUCCAGGAGCGGCGCCAUACCCUUCCCACUCAGGGUAUUGUGAUUUCCUCAAGAACAAAGCCAAGUCCUAGACUUUGGAUUUCAUUGAUGUGCUUCUGCUGAGCAAGGAUGAAGAUGGGAAGGUGUUGUCAGAUGAGGAUGUAAGAGCAGAGGCUGACACCUUCAUGUUUGCAGGCCAUGACACCACAGCCAGUGGUCUCUCCUGGGUCCUGUACAACCUCGCGAGGCACCCAGAAUACCAGGAGCACUGCCGGCAGGAGGUGCAAGAGCUUCUGAAGGACCGCGAUCCUAAAGAGAUUGAAUGGUCUACAACCCCUUCCGCUUCAACUCAGAGAACAGCAAGGAGAGGUCACCUCUGGCUUUUAUUCCCUUCUCUGCGGGACCCAGGAACUGCAUCGGGCAGGCGUUCGCCAUGGCGAAGAUGAAGGUGGUCCUGGCGCUGACGCUGCUGCGCUUCCGCUUCCUGCUGGACCACACGGAGCCCCGCAGGAAGCCGGAGCUGAUCAUGCGCGCUGAAGGAGGACUUUGGCUGCGAGUGGAGCCCCUGAACGCGGGCUUGCAGUGACCCUCUGACCCAUCCACCUGCCUUUCCAGAUUCUCCGGAAUAAAACUGUGCCUGGGCCUCUACUGACAGCCAGCAGGGGGCUCUUGAGGACUGGGAGGCGUCAGGGAAGGGGCAUAACCUGGGCGGGUUAGGUGGGGUGUUGUCACUGAACCCAAGAACCUGACUGCCUCUUUGGCUGAUCAUAGGGCCUCCAUGCUUUGGGAGUGUCCCAAGACCGAGGUCCUUAGCCAGCUCAGAACACAGGGAUAGAAGGGUGCAGCUUCUAUCCUGGUAGGCUUUUAGGAAUUCUUAGCUCCCUUUCUUGCCAGCAUCCCACCCUACGUCUCCCCCUUCAAGUUGAUCGCUUUUGUGAACCCCCUUCCCCUACCUUCAGACAGCUCCAUUUUUUUUCCUCUUUUGAACCCUCUGACUCUGCCCAGGCAGCCUGGCCAACAGAUACUACCUGAAUCCUCCCCCUACUCUCCUCUGCUAUGUGCCAGGCACCCUCACACAUGUCAGGGGUUCAGCACAUCCCCACCCUUUCACCUCUAGGUUCCUCCUUCAUUCCCAUCACCUGCCCAUGUUGGGGUGGGGUGCAGUCAGGGCCAUCCUGUUUGACCCUUGAGAUCCAAAGCCAGAUGACUGGAAGCAAAACACCAUCCCAAAGGCAUGACAUCUGGAACCAGACUACUUGGGCUCAAGUCUCAGCUUUGCUGUGUGGCUUGGGCAAGUUAAUUCUCCUCUCUUUUCUUCAGUUUUCUCAAGCAUAUAAUGGGGACAACAAUGCUACCUUUGUCAGGGUUUUCCUGAGGACAAAAUAUGAGAGACUCAGAACUGUGCCUGGUGCACAUUGAAUGCUCAAUAAAUACGGCCAUUAUUACCUGCUCUCUGAGAAAGUCUGGUUAAUAAAGCAUGUUGCCUUUCAAGAUA